GGCCGCAGAGGCGGCGGUGGCUGCCCGGGUGGCGGCGGGGGCGGGUAGCGCCGGGCCGAGCGGAGCCAUGGGCCGGGCUGGGACCGGGACCCGGACUGGGAGCGAGGCGGUAGCCGUGGCGGUGGCGGGGCCACUGCUGCUGCUGCUGCUCGCUCGGCCCCCGCCUGCCGCCGGCGACAGCAGGAAGAGCGAGGCUGGGCUGGUGUCCGAGCACUUCUCGCAGGCCCCGCAGAGACUGUCCUUCUACAGCUGGUACGGCAGCGCCCGGCUCUUCCGCUUCCAGGUGCCCCCAGACACCGUGCUGCUGCGCUGGCUGCUGCAAGUGUCCCGGGGCAGCGGCCCCACGUGCUCCGACGUGGAGAUCACUGUGCACUUCCACUAUGGGGCCCCCCCAGUCAUCAACCCGCUGGGCGCCAGCUUCCGGAACGACACCUGGGUGCGGCCGUCCUUCCAGCUCAGCAUGCCCCUGAGCGCCAUGCUGCUGAGCAACACCUCCAUCAACGUCUCCCACCCGGCGCCUGGGGACUGGUUUGUGGCUGCCCACCUGCCCCCCUCCGCUGAGAAGAUCCAGAUGAAGGGCUUUGUUCCCACCUGUGCCUACAUCUUCCAGCCUGACAUGCUGGUCACGAGGGUGGUCGAGCUCUCCAUCAUGGAGCCUGACGUGCCUCACCCGCAGAUGCUCCUCUCCCACCCCGGCUACCUCAAGAUCUUCAUCCCCGAGUACACGCAGGAGCUGCGGCUGGAGCUGCAGGGCUGUGCGUCCAACGGGAGCCUGGGCUGCCCCGUGCGUCUCACUGUGGGCUCUGCCACCCUGCCCGGCAACUUCCAGAAGGUGCUCACCUGCACCAGCCCCACCUGGCCCUGCCGCCUGCUGCUGCCCUCGCCACCCUGGGACCGGUGGCUGCAAGUGACAGCUGAGAACCUGGCAGGACCCCACGAGGCAGUGGCUUUCAGUGCGGUAGCUGCCCUCACAGCCUGCAAGCCCUGGCGCAUGACCUACCCCCCUGUCCUGCACAGCAGCCAGAACCAGAACCAGAGCCACAGCACCUCCAUGGUGCAGCCGUCCCUGGGCCCCAGCUACCGAGACCUGGGCAGGAAUGGCAGGUGGGACGGUGGCCCCUUCUGCCUCCUGAGCUACCCAGUCAUCCGGGAGGACUUGGACGUGGUGUCUGUGCGCUUCCAGCCCCUGGACAGGGUCAGGGUGACAGUGCGCUCGGACACACCCUCCGUGAUGCGGCUCCGCCUCAACACAGGCAUGGACAGCGGGGGCUCCCUCACCAUUGCCCUGAGGACCAACCAGACAAAGAUUGGGAACAGCACGUUGGUGGCCUGUGUGAACGCUGCCUCGCCCUUCCUCAGCUUCAACACCUCCCACAACUGCAGCACAGCCUUCUUCCAGGGCUACCGCCUGUCUCUGAGCGCCUCGUCCCACAAGGCCAACCUCAUCAUCCCCUACCCAGAGACAGAAAACUGGUACCUGUCCCUGCAGCUGCUGUGCCCCGAGAGUCCAGAGGACUGUGAGGAGGCCAGGGUCCAGGUUGAGACCACCUUGUACCUCAUGCCCUGUCUGGACGACUGUGGACCCUACGGCCAGUGCCUCCUGCUCCGCAGACAUGGCUACCUGUAUGCGGGAUGCAGCUGCAAGGCUGGCGUGGGUGGAGCUGCACCGACAACAGCACGGCCCAGACCGAGGCGCAGCAGAGGGCCGCCGCACUGCUGCUCACACUCAGCAACCUCAUGUUCCUGGCGCCCAUCGCCGUCUGCGUGCACCGCUCCCUCCUGGUGGAGGCCUCCGUCUACGCCUACACUAUGUUCUUCUCCACGUUCUACCACGCCUGCGACCAGCCCGGCAAGGCGGUGCUCUGCAUCCUCAACUACGACACGCUGCAGUACUGUGACUUCCUGGGCUCUGGGGUGUCCACCUGGGUCACCAUCCUCUGCAUGGCACGGCUGAAGAUGGUCGUCAAAUAUGUCCUGUUUCUCCUGGGCACGCUGGUCAUCGCCAUGUCCUUGCAGCUGGACCGCAGGGGCGCCUGGAACAUGAUGGGGCCCUGCCUCUUUGCCUCCGUGAUCAUGGUCUCCAUGUGGGUGUACCGCUGUGGGCACCGGCGCCAGUGCUACCCCCGCUCGUGGCAGCGCUGGGCCUUCUACCUCCUGCCCGGCAUCUCCAUGGCCUCUGUGGGCGUCGCCAUCUACACUUACUUGAUGACCGCCGACAACUAUUACUACACCCACAGCAUCUGGCACGUGCUGCUGGCAGGGAGCGCGGCGUUACUGCUGCCGCCGCGGGAGGAGCACACAGAGCCCUGGGCCUGCCCGCAGAGGCUCCCCUGCCACUAUCAGAUCUGCAGGAACGAUCAGGACGAGCUGUACACGGUGACCUGACGCCGGCUCAGGGGCCCUGCUCUCCAAUGACCUCUUCAGCCAGCCAGGAGCAGGGUCAAGCGGAGGAGCCCUGUCCAGCCCCUUCUGACCCAUGUCCAGCUGAAUAAAAUUGGCCUGAGCAUUCUCCUGCUUCCUCCUCCCCAGGAGAGGCCCACCCCUCA